rnacentral:lncRNA from 1 species
CAUGGGGGUGAGGAGCAAUAUUCUGAUGAUGCAGCCCCCUCCAAACCUUGAGAGUGUGUAUAAUAUCCUCCUGAAUGAUGAGAAACAAAGGCAUGUUCAGCCUCCCUCUCAUUUUAAUCCGAAUUCUGUAUCUUUCAAUGCCUACUCUAACAGGAAGCCAGUUGACUCUAAUAAGGCUGCAAUGCCUAAUCCUUCCCCUUCUUUCAAACAAAGAGUUAACUUUGAUCAAGGUAGAGGGUCUGAUCAAGGUAGAGGGUCAUUGUUCUGUAGAUACUGUAAGAAGUCU